AUUGAACGCUGGCGGCAGGCUUAACACAUGCAAGUCGAACGAGUGGCGGACGGGUGAGUAAUGCUUGGGAAUCUAGCUUAUGGAGGGGGAUAACUACGGGAAACUGUAGCUAAUACCGCGUACCAUAGGAUGAGUCCAAGUGGGAUUAGUUAGUUGGUGAGGUAGAGGCUCACCAAGCCGACGAUCCCUAGCUAGUCUGCGAGGAUGACCAGCCAAACUGGGAUGGAGAACCGGCCAAGACUCGUCCGGGAGGAAGAAGUGGGGAACAUUGCGCAAUGGGGGAAACCGGCCGAAGCAAUGCCGGGGGGAUGAAGAAGGCCUUCGGGUUGUAAAGUUCUUUCGGUAGCGAGGCGUUAACUACAGAAGAAGCACCGGCUAACUCCGUGCCAGCAGCCGCGGUAAUAC
rnacentral:rRNA from 1 species